rnacentral:rRNA from 1 species
CCUACGGGAGGCAGCAGUGAGGAAUAUUGGUCAAUGGCCGCAGGGCUGAACCAGCCAAGUCGCGUGAGGGAUGACGGUCCUAUGGAUUGUAAACCUCUUUUGUCAGGGAGCAAAGGGCGCCACGUGUGGCGCUUUGCGAGUACCUGAAGAAAAAGCAUCGGCUAACUCCGUGCCAGCAGCCGCGGUAAUACGGAGGAUGCGAGCGUUAUCCGGAUUUAUUGGGUUUAAAGGGUGCGCAGGCGGAAUGUCAAGUCAGCGGUAAAAUUUCGGGGCUCAACCCCGACGUGCCGUUGAGACUGGCGUUCUUGAGUGAGCGAGAAGUAUGCGGAAUGCGUGGUGUAGCGGUGAAAUGCAUAGAGAUCACGCAGAACUCCGAUUGCGAAGGCAGCAUACCGGCGCUCAACUGACGCUCAUGCACGAAAGCGUGGGUAUCGAACAGGAUUAGAUACCCUUGUAGUC